AUAUUUUGGUUUGGAUUGCUUAAUUCCAAUAUGUAUGUUUAUGUCAAGUAAAUAAUAAUGUCGAUUUAGCUAGACUAUAGUGACUCGUUGUGGAAUGUAGUCUGUCAGUUAAGAGAUUAGCAGUUAAUGUGUAUAUCCCUGGAUGAUUAGCUGUGAAUUGAGUUUUAUUUUAGUUUGCUUUUAGGCUAUAAUCAGCGUUGACAGAACAGAUGAGAGUGUAACACUUUGCCUUAUUUUCCCAUGGUGUCUUGUUCUAUGAAAAUCUAAAAUUAAAACCUCCAUAAAGGGAGAAAUGUUAUAUGAGCCGCCAGAGGCUAAAAUCCUUUGAUAAAUUAAAUAUGCUUCAUUUCAUUUUCUAAUAAAACAAGAACUAACUCCCUGGUCUGCUAAUGACUUUACUUAGCACCAUUGUUGCGAAAGUGGAGAUUUAUGCCCAAAAAUGGGCUUAAAAAUGUGAAAUUGAUGACCUGGGCGGAUUUCCGGUAUUUUUUUGGUUUGGCAUAUUGAUAUUUUUUCUUUUUUCAUGUUUUUCAAAAUCUUCAUUCUGCAAAAGAUUUUACUUUUCAGUAUUUGAAAAAUUGAAGAAAAACAACUAAAACACAUUAAAUUCGUUUAAUAUCCCCUUUAAAAUUGCAUGGAUAUACCAAAACGUGGACUUACAUUUACAUACUCUAUAGCAGUGGGCGGUAUACUUUGUGAAUAUCACGUAUUCGAUUUAAAACACUGAUUUUUAAAAAUAUGGCUAAAAUCAGAAGAACAAUGAACAUCCGUAGGUGCCGUUAUAUGUGGAUUGUAGCAAAACGUGGGUCUGCAUAGACACUGUUGUGUCAUGGGAUGUAGAUGUAGUAAACUAUUGCGUUAGAAACUGUAGCCAAAACUGAAAAAAAUAAAGACUGUCGGCAGGUACCGUUAUAUAGAGGCUAUGUAGACAAUGCUUUGCGCCGUAGGUAGAACGCACCAUGACAUCUCACCAAAUCGUUUCUAAAGACAGAUCGCAAUGGGAAAGCUCAAUGGUCCGAACUCCAAGAAUUCAACAACCUUUGCUUCAGGAAACUGCCUACUACCAAAUACCCGUAACAAGACUAAUCCUCCCAGCAAAGGAAGCGGCACCUGCGAACGAGAGUGAAGAGCUUCAGUAUUCCAACACCACUGAUCCCAAGGGAAUUGAAAUGGAGGUCAACAAGUUGGAACAUUGCUGCAACAUUUUAACUUAUAUGAGUGGAUUGUGCGUAAUUCUUUAAAUGAAGUUACAGUUAUUGCCCCAACAAGUUAUGCUGGCCGCUAAUUUGUCUAUCAUCUCGAAAGUAAGCGAAGAAUUCUACGUAGUAUUAGAUAUCCUUCCUCCCAGGAACUAUCACAACAGUUUUCAAUAGUUGAUAUUGGAGAUGUCAUUCAAAACAUUUGAACUAGAUGGAAUCACAAUGGUAAUGCUGAAAAAGCUAGAUACAUCGGGAGUUGACUACCUGAUAAAAGUCCUCAACCUCUCACUACCCACGUACAUCGUUCCGAAACCUGAUAAAUAGGUCGGGUCGUUCCGAUACUGAAGGAAAUGAUGUCAACAAAGGCGAAUGAUAAAGCCAAUUUCGGUUUUAUCGUCAGUAACAAAGACUAUCGACAUUUUACUCUUCCCCAUUGUUACUUCUUACGCUAUUCGGUUGCUUUCCGUCAGCGACAUAGCACAACGACAGCAUAACGGCAUAUCCACAUAUAUCAGUAGAGGGUUUUUUUGGAAUCGGUUAUUGGUUACGCCGUCACGACGAGGUCGGUACGAUGCCCGUAGUAUGAAUGUACCAUUGUUUUGUAGUCGAUUGUUAGUUAUCGAUAAUUAUUUCGAGUUCCUUGUUGCUUUCCAUUUCUUUUUAUUCUUGUAGUUUUGUGAUGUGAGUGAUGUGAUUCCGGGUUAUAGCUGUAUGUUGUUUUUAUGAAUGAAGUUGCACAAUUCACGAAAGUUUUCACAGGCAAAACUUUUGAGUACUGCAGGUAAAUUUGAAAAUUUUGUAAAGAAAUUGUAAUUCAUUCUGUCAUUAUUGUAUAUAUGGACAGGUAAGUUUUUCCAUAUGAUGAGGAACAGGUAAGUUUUUCCAUAUGUAUGACCAGUGAGAAGUCUGUUUAUAACCUUAAUUUCUCCAAGUGACAUGUUGAAUCCUGAAAACCAAUGGCGGUUUGGUGGCUCUGGGAAGAAUUGUGAGAAAUGUUGGUGGAUUAGGGAGCGAGCAUCUUUUAUCGAGAGGCCAGUUUGUAUGAUUGAACCAACUUCAGCUGCAUGUUUGGCGAAAAAGUCUGCACGUUCAUUAGCAGCAAUGCCUAUAUGCGAGGGAAUCCAGAUGAUGAUUCUGUAUUAUCUAUUUAGAGUGUAUUAUUUGUGUUAUAAGAUGCGUUGUUUAAUCCAGUGAGAUACUUUUGAGAAACUUGCUUGUUGGAAAGUUGGUUGAGACGGUGUUAUUUGAAUCGGACUGGCUGUGACGUGAUGAAUUGGAUUUCUAGGUGACGCUGUAUUUUAAUUUUGUGACUCUUUUAUUUAUUUCCUCAUAAACGCUUCUUUUUGGAGUAGAGGGUUAAUACACUUUUUACAUUCGGCCCUAUUAUGGUUGUCGUCGGCCUCGCAAAAUGAAGUCGAGGCGACAAUAAUAUUAGGGUUGUCGUUUUUUGUCGAUAGCGAAAAUGAUUACUAUUAUAGUUGUUGAUACAACAGUCGACGUGAAGUCGAUUUUUAAGAAAAUCUGUCGCCGUAAAAAAUUGUGACGACAUUGUAUUUUUUAGUCGACGGAAAACAUAAUUGUAACAGACGUUAUAGAUCAUGAAAAUGAGCCAGUGGACAAUGCUGAUGACGAGACUGAUGUAACUACUAUCUAAACUUCUCGAUCGCCCAGAAAAAACAAUGAUAAAAAGUCAUCAAGGAAAGAAGAAACUAUUGAAUUCUUGAAAGAGCAGUAUAAACUUUUGGAACAACAUAAUCAAGAGUCAGGCAAUGCAAAUAUGUUUGUUUGCUGCCUUAGCACUCGCCGCUGCACUACUAAUACAUUCUCCACUUCAUCCUCACUUGAGCUUAAGAUAUGUAACGCAUUUAUAAUAUCCAUUGUUUCACUAUAUUUUUUAUUUUUCCAAAAGAGAAUUCAAAAUACAAAAAAAAAAAUUUCUUAUUUUGUCAAUAACAAGGGAGUGUUGCCAACGCUUUUUUAGUUGUUGCCAACUUUUAUUUUAAACUGUCGAUGUCGCUUCAAUGCCUUACCGUAAUACCAUCUUUGAAUCGAAGCGACGGUUUGGGCGACUUGCACAUAAAGUCGACGAC